UACACUCCUGCGGGAGGCAGCAGUAGGGAAUCUUCCACAAUGGGUGCAAACCUGAUGGAGCAAUGCCGCGUGAGUGAAGAAGGUCUUCGGAUCGUAAAGCUCUGUUGUUAGAGAAGAACACGUGCUAGGUAACUACUAGCGCCUUGACGGUAUCUAACCAGAAAGUCACGGCUAACUACGUGCCAGCAGCCGCGGUAAUACGUAGGUGACAAGCGUUGUCCGGAUUUAUUGGGCGUAAAGGGAGCGCAGGCGGUCUGUUUAGUCUAAUGUGAAAGCCCACGGCUUAACCGGGGAACGGCAUUGGAAACUGACAGACUUGAAUGUAGAAGAGGAAAAUGGAAUUCCAAGUGUAGCUGUGGAAUGCGUAGAUAUUUGGAGGAACACCAGUGGCGAAGGCGAUUUUCUGGUCUAACAUUGACGCUGAGGCUCGAAAGCGUGGGGAGCGAACAGGAUUAGAAACCCUUGUAGUCCCAUGA
rnacentral:rRNA from 1 species